rnacentral:rRNA from 1 species
GGCGAGCGGGUGAGUAACACGUGAGCAAUCUGUUUGGACUCUGGGAGAACUGCGGGAAACUGUAGCUAAUACCGGAGGUUACCUUGGAAGGCAUCUUCUGGGGUGGAAAGAAUCUUGGUCAAGGAUGAGCUCGCGGCCUAUCAGCUAGUUGGUGAGGUAAUGGCUCACCAAGGCGACGACUGGUAGCCGGCCUGAGAGGGUGACCGGCCACACUGGGACUGAGACACGGCCCAGACUCCUACGGGAGGCAGCAGUCGGGAAUAUUGCACAAUGGGCGCAAGCCUGAUGCAGCAACGCCGCGUGAGGGACGACGGCCUUCGGGUGUUAAACCUCUUAUUAGUAGGGAAGAAGCGACUGGGUUUUCCUGGGAGUGACGGUACCUGCAGAAAAAGCACCGGCUAACUACGUGCCAGCAGCCGCGGUAAUACGUAGGGUGCAAGCGUUGUCCGGAAUUAUUGGGCGUAAAGAGCUCGUAGGCGGUUUGUCGCGUCUGCUGUGAAAACCCGAGGCUCAACCUCGGGCCUGCAGUGGGUACGGGCAGACUAGAGUGCGGUAGGGGAGAUUGGAAUUCCUGGUGUAGCGGUGGAAUGCGCAGAUAUCAGGAGGAACACCAAUGGCGAAGGCAGAUCUCUGGGCCGUAACUGACGCUGAGGAGCGAAAGCAUGGGGAGCAACAAGGAUUAGAUACCCUGGUAGUCCAUGCCGUAAACGUUGGGAACUAGAUGUGGGGACCAUUCCACGGUCUCCGUGUCGCAGCUAACGCAUUAAGUUCCCGCCCGGGGGAAUACGGCCGCAAGGCUAAACUCAAAGGAAUUGACGGGGGCCCGCACAAGCGGCGGAGCAUGCGGAUUAAUUCGAUGCAACGCGAAGAACCUUACCAGGCUGACAUAUACCGGUACGCCUGGAAACAGUGCCCGCAAGUCGUAUACAGGUGGGGCAGGGUUUCGUCACUCUGUCCGGAAAUUUUGGGUUAAUCCCGCACGAGGCAACCUCGUCUAGUGCGCACGUUAUGGUGGAACUCUGGGAUCUGCCGGUACUCGAGAAAGGGGGGGAGACUCAAUCUCAGCCCCUAUUCUGGCUCACCAGCUCAUG